rnacentral:rRNA from 1 species
UACUAACGCUGGCGGCGUGCUUAACACAUGCAAGUCGAACGGUGAAGCGCCUUCCUUUUUGGUGGGUGUGGAUGAGUGGCGAACGGGUGAGUAACACGUGAGUAACCUGCCCCCUUCUUCUGGAUAACCGCAUGAAAGUGUGGCUAAUACGGGAUAUUCUGGGUCUGUCGCAUGAUGGGUCUGGGAAAGAUAUUGUUUCGGUGGGGGAUGGGCUCGCGGCCUAUCAGCUUGUUGGUGGGGUGAUGGCCUACCAAGGCGGUGACGGGUAGCCGGCCUGAGAGGGUGGACGGUCACACUGGGACUGAGACACGGCCCAGACUCCUACGGGAGGCAGCAGUGGGGAAUAUUGCACAAUGGGCGCAAGCCUGAUGCAGCGACGCCGCGUGAGGGAUGGAGGCCUUCGGGUUGUGAACCUCUUUCGCCAGUGAAGCAGGCCUGCCUCGUUUGUGGGUGGGUUGACGGUAGCUGGAGAAGAAGCGCCGGCUAACUACGUG